rnacentral:rRNA from 1 species
GACGAAGGGGGCUAGCGUUAUUCGGAAUCACUGGGCUUAAAGAGUCCGUAGGCGGCUUGUUAGGUGAGGUGUGAAAUCCCUCGGCCCAACCGAGGAAUUGCGCUUCAAACCGGCGAGCUAGAGGAGGAUAGAGGUGGGCGGAACUGAUGGUGGAGCGGUGAAAUGCGUUGAUAUCAUCAGGAACACCGGAGGCGAAAGCGGUCCACUGGGUCCUUUCUGACGCUGAGGGACGAAAGCUAGGGGAGCGAACGGG